CCUACGGGAGGCAGCAGUGGGGAAUUUUGGACAAUGGACGCAAGUCUGAUCCAGCCAUUCCGCGUGCAGGACGAAGGCCUUCGGGUUGUAAACUGCUUUUGUACGGAACGAAAAAGCUCUUAUUAAUACUAGGAGUCUAUGACGGUACCGUAAGAAUAAGCACCGGCUAACUACGUGCCAGCAGCCGCGGUAAUACGUAGGGUGCAAGCGUUAAUCGGAAUUACUGGGCGUAAAGCGUGCGCAGGCGGUUAUAUAAGACAGAUGUGAAAUCCCCGAGCUUAACUUGGGAACUGCAUUUGUGACUGUAUAGCUAGAGUACGGCAGAGGGGGAUGGAAUUCCGCGUGUAGCAGUGAAAUGCGUAGAUAUGCGGAGGAACACCGAUGGCGAAGGCAAUCCCCUGGGCCUGUACUGACGCUCAUGCACGAAAGCGUGGGGAGCAAACAGGAUUAGAUACCCUGGUAGUCCACGCCCUAAACGAUGUCAACUGGUUGUUGGGUCUUCACUGACUCAGUAACGAAGCUAACGCGUGAAGUUGACCGCCUGGGGAGUACGGCCGCAAGGUUGAAACUCAGGAAUUGACGG
rnacentral:rRNA from 1 species